rnacentral:rRNA from 1 species
UGUACUAAGGUAGCACGGUGAGUAGCCCUUUAAUUGAGGGAUUGUAUGAAUGGUUGGACACGGAGAGACUGUUUCCAAUAUAAUAAGUAGAAGUUUCUUUUCAAGUGAAAAAGCUUGAGUUUUUGUAAAAGACGAGAAGACCCUGUCGAACUUGAUUAAAACCUAGUAUAUUUAAUUUUUUACCUUAUUUUUUUUGUUUUGUUAAAUUAGUUUUGUUGUUAUGGCUCAUGUCUUAGUUAAGAAGUGUUAUUGCAAUAAAGAUUUUAUUAAUUUUUGAAAUUGGGUGUGGAAAAUUUAUUUUAGUUUUGAAUUUUUGUUGGGGCAACAGAAGUCUAUUAAACGAUAUCUUGUUGGAUAAAGACCCUGUAUGAUGGUUUAAAAGCAAAAGUUACCGCAGGGAUAACAGCGUAAUUUUUUUCUGUAAUUGUAUCGAGAAAAGAGUUUGCGACCUCGUUUUUGGUAUUAUA